rnacentral:rRNA from 1 species
AUUGAACGCUGGCGGCAUGCUUUACACAUGCAAGUCGAACGGUAACAGGGAGCUUGCUCCGCUGACGAGUGGCGAACGGGUGAGUAAUGCGUCGGAACGUGCCGAGUAGUGGGGGAUAACGCAUCGAAAGGUGUGCUAAUACCGCAUACGAACUGAGGUUGAAAGUGGGGGACCUUCGGGCCUCUCGCUAUCCGAGCGGCCGACGUCUGAUUAGCGAGUUGGUGAGGUAAAGGCUCACCAAGGCGACGAUCAGUAGCGGGUCUGAGAGGAUGAUCCGCCACACUGGGACUGAGACACGGCCCAGACUCCUACGGGAGGCAGCAGUGGGGAAUUUUGGACAAUGGGCGCAAGCCUGAUCCAGCCAUGCCGCGUGUCUGAAGAAGGCCUUCGGGUUGUAAAGGACUUUUGUCCGGGAGCAAAUGCUGGUGGCUAACAUCCACCGGAGCUGAGAGUACCGGAAGAAUAAGCACCGGCUAACUACGUGCCAGCCGCCGCCGUAAAAC